CGCGAGCUUGAGCAAGGUCCCAUCCCUGUCCCUUUUUCCUUAACUGUUGAAGCGAUCCCCUCGACCCUACGCGCCUCCCACAGUGGAAGAGAUGCAGAAAAUCCACAAGAGAAGUGCUUGAUAAGAUAGAAGGCAACUGUCACAGCGAGGGCUGUUACUACAAGGUCGCUUGGAGCAUGUUCCAGGUUUCCCAGAUCACUAGACGAAGGCUGCUUUCCAGGACGUGGGGAAUCCCAGCAGCACUGGGGAGACCGAACUGCUGGGGCCUCUGGGGAAGACUUAGGACUUAGAAGCAAUAGUGGCUGUGGACUCCAGGGCUGGCUUGGGAACAAGGACGAAGCUCAGCAAUUAUCUCCGUGCCGCCACUCACACUGAGGCAGCACCAACAUCUGGAGUCACCUUCAUUAAGCACCUACUGCCGGACACUGGACUUGGUACUUUACAAAUGUAUUCUGUCUAAUCCCAGCAUCCCUGUUUGUUAGGCAUCAUUAUCCCAAUUUUAUAGAUGGGAAAACCAAGACAGAGAUUUCAUAAUCUCUCUAAGACACUGAGCGAGGCUGCGGAGGAGUUCACAGUGGAACCCAAGUCCGCCUUACUCUGAAACAUGUGUUCUUGCCACUUUCAGACUGCCCUACUUUGCUUUUUAAAGAAACGAUUUUGUGACCCAAAUAAAUCUAAUUGGUGACAUAUCUA